rnacentral:rRNA from 1 species
AGAGUCUGAUCCCGGCUCAGAAUCAACGCUGGCGGCGCGCUUAACACAUGCAAGUCGCACGAGAAAGGGAGCAAUCCUAAGUAAAGUGGCGUACGGGUGAGUAACACGUGGAUCAUCUACCUUCUAGUGGGGAAUACCUCCGGGAAACUGGAGACAAUACCGCAUAAGCUCGAAAGAGGAAAGCAGCAAUGCGCUGGAAGAGGAGUCCGCGGUCGAUUAGCUAGAUGGUGAGGUAAUGGCUCACCAUGGCGAAGAUCGAUAGCCGGCCUGAGAGGGCUCACGGCCACACUGGCACUGAAACACGGGCCAGACUCCCACGGGAGGCAGCAGUGGGGAAUCUUGCACAAUGGAGGAAACUCUGAUGCAGCGACGCCGCGUGAGUGAUGAAGCCCUUCGGGGUGUAAAGCUCUUUCGACAGGAACGAUAAUGACGGUACCUGAAGAAGAAGCUGCGGCUAACUACGUGCCAGCAGCCGCGGUAAUACGUAGGCAGCAAGCGUUGUUCGGAAUUACUGGGCGUAAAGAGUGUGUAGGCGGUGCUCUAAGUUUGGUGUGAAAUCUCCCGGCUCAACCGGGAGGCUGCAUCGAAUACUGGAAUGCUAGAGGGUGGGAGAGGUAAGCGGAAUUCCUGGUGUAGCGGUGAAAUGCGUAGAUAUCAGGAGGAACACCUGUGGUGUAGACAGCUUACUGGACCACUUCUGACGCUGAGACACGAAAGCGUGGGUAGCAAACAGGAUUAGAUACCCUGGUAGUCCACGCCCUAAACGAUGCAUACUUGGUGUGGGCCAUUCAUUUGGUCUCAGUAUCGAAGCUGACGCGUUAAGUUCGCCGCCUGGGAAGUACGGUCGCAAGGCAGAAACUCAAAGGAAUUGACGGGGGCCCGCACAAGCGGUGGAGCAUGUGGAUUAAUUCGAUACUAACCGAAGAACCUUACCCACUCUUGACAUUGAAGGAAAGCUCUAGAGAUAGAGCCCUCUCUCACAAGGAGACCUGAAAACAGAUGUUGCAUGGCUGUCGUCAUCUCGUGCCGUGAGGUGUACGGUUAAGUCCGCCAACGAGCGCAACCCUCGUUCUGUGUUACCAGCGAGUAAUGUCGGCACUCACAGGAGACCGCCGGUGUAAGCCGGAGGAAGGUGGGGAUGAUGUCAAGUCAGCAUGGCUCUUACGAGUGGGGCUUCACACAUGCUACAAUGGGCGCAACAAAGGGCAGCGAUACCGCGAGGUGGAGCAAAUCCCAAAAAUACGUCCUCAGUUCAGAUUGCAGUCUGCAACUCGACUGCAUGAAGGCGGAAUCGCUAGUAAACGCAGGUCAGCUAUACUGCGUUGAAUACGUUCCCGGGUCUUGUACACACCGCCCGUCAAGUCACUUGAAUUGUCUUCACCCGAAGUCCGUGGCCUAACCCGCAAGGGAAGGAGCGGCCGAAGGUGAGGGGGGUAAGAGG